rnacentral:rRNA from 1 species
UACGAAGGGGGCUAGCGUUGCUCGGAAUCACUGGGCGUAAAGGGUGCGUAGGCGGGUCUUUAAGUCAGGGGUGAAAUCCUGGAGCUCAACUCCAGAACUGCCUUUGAUACUGAAGAUCUUGAGUUCGGGAGAGGUGAGUGGAACUGCGAGUGUAGAGGUGAAAUUCGUAGAUAUUCGCAAGAACACCGGUGGCGAAGGCGGCGACCUGGGUAGAUACUGACGCUGAGGUGCGAAAGCGUGGGGAGCAAACAGG